GCUGCUCCUGCUGCUCCUGCUGCUCCUGCUGCUGCUGCUCCUGCUGCUCCUGCUGCCUCACCAACGAUUGAGCCCUUUUUAUACCCCUGGUGACUAAUUGGACCCAACCAAUACCAUAUAUAGAGUUGGUAUUUCCCGGACCUAUAAAGCGGUGGUCACGGACCUUGGGAACUAUUUUGGCAGAUAUCCAUGGCGAGAGAAGACCUGUUCCAGAGAUCCAUGGGAGGAAGACACCUGAACCAGAUAAGUAGUUGCAACACACACACACACCACACCACACACACUGUAUGUCUGCAGCCACAUGGGGAAAAAACUUGCAUUUUCUAAUUCUUGGCAUUCCCGUUGGAGUACCCAUGGGCUCAGACAUACACUCUACAUUCAUACAGCCAUACACAAGUUCCUUUACCCCACCACUCACACAGCAUCUAUAUUCUAUGUCCCUGCAUCACAGACGGUGUGCAGCUGUUGGUCUGGAACUCGCCGAUGGACGUCGAGCUGACUCAACGUGGCGCUGAGACUGCUGGACAAAGGUGCAGAAGAUCCUGAAAGGGAAACAUUUAAAAGCUGAAGCUCAACAACACUGUCAGCUCAGGCCCCACCGUUCAUGUUUGAAGGUUUUCUACACAGGAAAAACGAGAGUAAUGUUUCCAGAGGACCACUAGAAUGGGAGUAAUAUUAAGAACACGCUCACGAAUGCUGUUGGAGUGAAAUACAGAGAUCGACAAAAUACCUGUUUUGAGGGCCAAGUUACCUACGUUUUUGGAAUGUGCUUCCAAGUUCAGCGAGGUCUGAUUUCCUUCUGAAAAAACAACCUAGGCGUGCGCAAGAUCCAAAUGAUGGGGACCAGCAUUCACUGUCAAAUAUGCACUUCCAAGAAGUUCAGCAUCCCAACCUUGGAUGACAGUUUGAUUUCCUUAUGAAACAACAAAACCUAGGUGUGCUCCAGAUUUGUUUUGGACAAGGUCCAAAUGUCAUUAAUUGUUUUCCUUUUUGUUGCAGGUCAUCCAGUUUGAUCCUGCAUCACAUUCUUGUCGUUUUCUCAAACUUUGUCCUGUCAGAGGGGGACCAGCAUCCUGAUGGAAUCGCAGACAGUCAUACCUGCUUGCAGUGGGAACGUGAUUCACUGUCAAAUAUGCAUAUUUUUGAAAUGUUUCAUUUAAUAAAAUCAGUUACUUUUGAACUACAAA